rnacentral:rRNA from 1 species
UACAGAGGGUGCUAGCGUUGUUCGGAAUCAUUGGGCGUAAAGGGCGUGUAGGCGGUUUGUUAAGUCAUGUGUGAAAUCCCUCGGCUCAACCGGGGAACGACGCAUGAAACUGGCAGGCUAGAGUACCAAAGAGGGGGGUGGAAUUCCCGGUGUAGCGGUGAAAUGCGUAGAUAUCGGGAAGAAUACCGGUGGCGAAGGCGGCAUCCUGGACCGAGAUUGACGCUGAACGGCGAAAGCUAGGGGAGCAAACGGG